UACGUAGGAUGCAAGCGUUGUCCGGAUUUACUGGGCGUAAAGCGCGCGCAGGCGGCACUCUAAGUACGUCGUGAAAUAUCCCGGCUCAACCGGGAGGGUGCGAUGUAGACUAGGGAGCUAGAGGUCGGUAGAGGGGGGUGGAAUUGCUGGUGUAGCGGUGAAAUGCGUAGAGAUCAGCAGGAACACCCGUGGCGAAGGCGGCCCCCUGGGCCGUACCUGACACUGAACCGCGACAGCAUGGGGAGCAAACAGG
rnacentral:rRNA from 1 species